GACAGCACAAACCAGUCACUCUGGAGAAAACACGCACACACGCUCUCAGACACAAGCGCUCGCGUGCACACGUGUGCGCGCGCAGACACACACACACACACACACACACACACAGGCAUCCAGGAGCAGCCGCCGCCAUAAUAAUGGAAGCAGACAAACCUGCUCAGCCCACGGAGUCUGCUGUGAAUUUAGAAAGGAGAAGAGAGGAAGAAAAGAAAUCACAGCUGAAAGAGCAAGCCUUUCUGUGCACCUUUGCAGAGAAAACUCAGUGCUUAGAGCCGAUUUUAUGGCUCACUCAUUGGUUUUCAGGCCUGACACUGCCUACCCUUCUUGGUUGAGCAGCUCAGAAAGGCUCAAAGCCAUCCUGACUCAUCUCAUCCAGAGCCUCAGCUCUGCCAGCCCCUCUCUGGGACCUGAGCUGGCCUUACCCAGGAUUCUCAGGACCCUAGACCUCAGUAGGUGGGAAAGAAUUGGGUCUCCAUAUACCAGGGAAGAGGAUAAAUAGGUCCAAGGUUGAAGAUUUGUGGCCCCUUACCAGAGCCAGCAUGGCCUGCAGACCGGGGUGUUGGCAAAAAGCCAUUUUAGAAGGGUGUAGAUAAAAUGCCCAUCACCUCAGGGCUGAGGGUUCUUAGACUGGGUGGAUAAGUCAUUACCUUUUCAGGACAGUUUUGAAAUUAUCAACUUUCCUGUUCUGUGGUGCCUGGGUUGGGUACAGAGGAGAAGCAGCAAGUGCAUUUCUGUUGUUAAAGAAAAAUAAUUCAUAGCCGGGCGUGGUGUCACAUGCCUGUAAUUUCAGCAGUUAGGGAGGCUAAGGCAGAAGGAUCACAAGUUCAGGGCCAGCCUCAGUAACUUAGCAAGGCCCUUAGUAAAUUAGAUAAGGCCCUGUCUCAAAAUAAAAAAUAAAAAGGCUGAGGAUGUGGCUUUGUGAUAAAGCACCCCUGGGUUGAAUCAGAAGAAGAAGGAGGAGAAGAAGAAGAAAAGGAGGAAAAG
rnacentral:lncRNA from 1 species